rnacentral:rRNA from 1 species
AGUGAACGCUGGCGGUAGGCCUAACACAUGCAAGUCGAACGGCAACACAGUAAGAGCUUGCUCUUACGGGUGGCGAGUGGCGGACGGACGAGGAAAACAUCGGGCUCUUCUUUUUCGUGGGGGAUCACGUAGGGAAACCUACGAUCAUACCGCAUACCCCCUACGGGUGAAAGCAGGGGAUCUUCGGACCUUGCGCGAUUGAAUGAGCCGAUGUCGGAUUAGCUAGUUGGCGGGGUAAAGGCCCACCGAGGCGACGAUCCGUAGCUGGUCUGAGAGGAUGAUCCGCGACAUUGGAAGUGAGACGCGGACCAGACUCCUAAGGGAGGCAGCAGUGGGGAAUAUGGGGCAAUAGGCGCAAGCCUGAUCCAGGCAUACGGCGUGGGAGCAGAAGGCCUUCGGGUUGUAAGGCCUGUCUGUUGGGGAAGAAAUGCAGCAGCUUAAUACCCCGCUGGUCUGACGGUACCCAAAGAAUAAGCACCGGCUAACUUCGUG